rnacentral:rRNA from 1 species
UAGUCCACGCUGUAAACGAUGAUCACUAGAUGUUCGGCCCUUGAGGCUGAGUGUCCAAGCGAAAGCGAUAAGUGAUCCACCUGGGGAGUACGUUGGCAACAAUGAAACUCAAAGGAAUUGACGGGGGCCCGCACAAGCGGUGGAGCAUGUGGUUUAAUUCGAUGAUACGCGAGGAACCUUACCUAGGCUAGAAUGCAUAUGGCUGUUGGCUGAAAGGUCAAUUUCCUUCGGGACUGUAUGCAAGGUGCUGCAUGGUUGUCGUCAGCUCGUGCCGUGAGGUGUUGGGUUAAGUCCCGCAACGAGCGCAACCCUUGUCGUUAGUUGCCAUCAGACAGUGAUGUGCUGGGCACUCUAACGAGACUGCCCGUGAUAAGCGGGAGGAAGGUGGGGAUGACGUCAAGUCAGUAUGGUCCUUAUGCCCAGGGCUGCACACGUGCUACAAUGGACGGUACAAUGGGUAGCCAAACCGCGAGGUGGAGCCAAUCCCCAAAACCCG